UGCCAGCAGCCGCGGUAAUACGGAGGAUGCAAGCGUUAUCCGGAUUUAUUGGGUUUAAAGGGUACGUAGGCGGGAGCUUAAGUCAGUGGUGAAAUCCUGCAGCUUAACUGUAGAACUGUCAUUGAUACUGGGCUUCUUGAAUGUAGUUGAGGUAGGCGGAAUGUGUAAUGUAGCGGUGAAAUGCUUAGAUAUUACACAGAACACCGAUUGCGAAGGCAGCUUACUAAACUACGAUUGACGCUGAGGUACGAAAGCGUGGGGAGCGAACAGGAUUAGAUACCCUGGUAGUCCACGCUGUAAACGAUGAUCACUCGUUGUUGGCAAUACACCGUCAGCGACUGAGCGAAAGCAUUAAGUGAUCCACCUGGGGAGUACGACCGCAAGGUUGAAACUCAAAGGAAUUGACGGGGCCCGCACAAGCGGAGGAACAUGUGGUUUAAUUCGAUGAUACGCGAGGAACCUUACCUGGGCUUAAAUGUAGAACGACGGACCGGGGAACUGGUCUUUCUUCGGACGGUCUGCAAGGUGCUGCAUGGCUGUCGUCAGCUCGUGCCGUGAGGUGUCGGGUUAAGUCCCAUAACGAGCGCAACCCUCAUCAUUAGUUGCCAGCGGGUAAUGCCGGGGACUCUAAUGAAACUGCCGGUGUAAACCGAGAGGAAGGUGGGGAUGACGUCAAGUCAGCACGGCCCUUAUGUCCAGGGCUACACACGUGUUACAAUGGUCGGUACAAAGGGCAGCUACCUGGCGACAGGAUGCUAAUCUCGAAAACCGAUCUCAGUUCGGAUCGAAGUCUGCAACUCGACUUCG
rnacentral:rRNA from 1 species